UGGAAAGGAGAGAAAAGAAGCCAGGUACUUACUUCAUUCAAGCAGCUCAGAGAAUCCAGAAUCCAAGACGGAGUCGAGCUUAGCCAAACCUCCCAAAAUCCAAGGAAAGAAAGAAUCCCAAGGCAGUUGGACCAGCGAGAAUUCUCACCAUUGAUGAUGAAUAUGUGGAAAGAAGAGUGGAAGAAAUACAAGAGGAAAAAUCAGUUGGAAGUGAUUUCCCCUCUGUGGUGUCUUCCAGUCCUGGAGAGAACACUGGGAGAUGACUGGAUGACAUGGCUCCCUGUCUGGCCUGUGUCUAUUGAUUUGGUGAACUGGCUUCUACAGGAACAUAGAGAAGAUGUGGCAGAGGUCAGAUGGCUCUGAAAAUGGAGGGGGAAAAAAGCUGCUAUGGUUUUCUUUGUCCAGGCCACUGUCAUAAGGAAGCCUGGAAGAGUGAAGAAAGGUCUGAUUGAUCACAAGGUCCUAUCAAAUGUCAAAGCUGGCCCUGGCUGACCUCCCAUCUAUUCAGAGCUGCUUUGAUUUAAUCUCCAAACUGGCUGCUUCUCCAGGCUGGAAGAAGAUUGAAAGUUCCAACAAGGCAAAGGUGAUGAAAAUGUCUUCAUGGAAUCUUUGGGUACUAAGGAAAAGAGAAAAUGGAGGAGGGCAAUUACCAAAACAAGAAAUCAUCUAAUAAAACAUGAUCCACAGAACAGGAAGCCUGAUUUCUCUUGUCAAGUCACUAAACAGGCAAGAGCCUUCUCAGAUAUGUCCUGAACACCUUCUCUUUGCCUGACAAGUUCAAGAAAUUAAGUCAAAUAAAUAUUUGAUGGAAAUCUACCUGGCUCCAAAGACUGGGCUUCUAACAAUCCUCUCCACAACGUUUGAAUACAAAAAAAGUAUCCUGCUAAAGGACAGAGCCCCUCCAUCUCUUCCCGCCAAGCUCUCUGCGUGCCUGGUGAGAGGUAUAGCACUUUUGCUUUCUUUUUCAAUUUGCUCUUUAAAUGAGUGACAAUAUCACCUAGUGAUUAAGGACCUGCCUGGAGCUGGGCUGAUGCUUGGAGUUGGGCUGAACCUGAGCCUGAAUUCGAGCUCUUCUUCUUCUUGCUGACUUUGACCCUAGGUGAGUUAAUUUUUCUAAGCUUCAGUUUCUUGGUCUAUAAAAAGGAGGAUGAUAAUUCUUUUCUCACUCAGUAUUGUUUUAAAGAUUAGUAAGAUAAUAUAUGCAACGCAUUUAGCACAGUGCCUUGCACAUGAUAAACCCUGAAUAAAUGGUAGCCAGUUUUAAAAUACAACAUAAUUUUAAGCGUUGGUAUUUCUUAUGACUCCAAUCUCAUCCCUCCUUUUCCAUUGUCACUACAUUUGCUCUGUGUCUCCCAUAUCGAAUCUGGAACUUGCAUUCAAAGCCUUUAUCUCUCAGUGCCAAAAGAGUAGCCCCGCAUGGAUGAACAAAGGUACUCAAAUUCAACAUGCCCAGAAUUAAACCCAGUAAAUGGGGAUUCAGUCACAACCCCAGUCUAUCCACCUAAGGGACAAAGUCCUGGCAGUCACCUAAGACUCCUCAUUAUCUUCAACCCCCAUCCCUGAUCAGUCACCCUAUUGGUUCUAACUUAUAAUAUUCAUUUAUUUUAUCACUACUGCCACAACCUGGGGUCAGACAUCAAACUUCUCUAUUCUGCCCCAUUGUUACCUCUUGACUACAAUCUCUGCCUCAAAUCUAAUCUGACCUCAUUCCUCUAUCUACUCUGCUAUGAAAGAGAUUACAGUUACACAUAUCUAAUUUUAUUACCUUUCCAUAUAAUGGUUCUCCAUUCUCCUGUGGGGUGCAUACAGUUUAGGGAACAUAAAAGUAUUCACUGGGAGCUAAGAAGAAAAUACCAUUUUUUUUUAAAUUUUAUUUUAACAAUUAUUUUGAAUAUAUUUAAAAGUAUUUAUUUAUAAUGUAUGUGAUAUAGUAGUAAAGUAAAGUAAUACAUAUGAGUGAUGGUUAAUUUUAAGUGUGUCUCUGGCUAGGCCACAGUGCCCAGAUAUUUGAUCAAAAAUGUAUGAAUGUUACUCUGAAGAUAUUUUUUUAGAUCAAAUUAACAUCUAGGGGAGUACCCAUUGUGGCUCAGUGGAAAUGCCUCCAACUAGUAACCACGAGGGUACAGGUUGGAUCCCUGGCCUUGCUCAGUGGGGAGCUGUAGUGUAGGUCACAGAUGUGGCUCAGAUCCUGAGUUGCUGUGGCUGUGGUAUAGGCCAGCAGCUGUAGCUCCAAUUCAACCCCUAGCCUGGGAACUUCCAUAUGCCGCAAGUGUGGCCCUAAAAAACACAAUAAAAUAAUAUAAACAUCUAAAUCAAUAGAUUUGUAGUAAAGCAGAUUACCCUCCAUAAUGUGGGUGGGCCUCUAUCAAUCAGUUGAAAGCUUCAAGAUAAAGACUGACUUCUCCCAAAGGAGGGAGAAUUUUGCCAGCAGGUUGCUAAAGGUUGCUAAAAUAUCAAAUCGUUGCUAGUAUCUAACUUACAGUCUACCCUGCAGAUUUUGGACUUGCCAGCCUCCACAAUCAUGUGAGUCAAUUCCUAAAAAUAAAUCUCUCUCUCUAUCUCUCUCUCCCUCUCUCUCUCUCUCUCUCUCGAGUGUGUGUGUGUGUGUGUGUGUGUGUGUGUGUGUGUAUCCUUUUGGUUCUGUCUCUCUGAAGAAGCUUGACUACUACAGUAAUUUUAAAAUGUAUAUAAUAUGUUCAAAAGUUUUUCAGAACCAAUGUUGUAAAGCUUUUUUUUCCAUAGUUUUUCACUAGGAGUUUUAGAAUUUCAGGUCUUCCAUUUAAGUCUGUUAUCCAUUUUGAAUUGAUUUUUGUAUAUGUUGUAACAUGAGGUCUAGUGUCACUCUUUUUUGCAUGUAAAUUUCCAGAUUUCCAACACCGUUUGUUGAAGAGACUAUCUUUUCCCCAUUUUGUACUCUUGACAAAAACCAGUUGACCACAUGGGCACACAUUUAUUUCUGGGCUCUCUGUUUGGUUCCACUGGUUUGUAUGUUGGUCUUUAUGCCAGUAUAUACUAAUUUGAUUAUGGUAGCUUUGUAGUGUAUUUCAAAAUAAGGAAAUAUGAUGCCUCCAGGCUUGUUCUCUUUCAAGAUUGUUUGAGCUAUUCAUAUAUUUUGUGGGUUCAUAUAGAUUUAGAAAUGUCAUUGGGAUUUUGAUAUGGAAUGUGUUGUGUUGAAUUUGUAGAUUGCUUUGGGCAACAUGGACAUUUUAACAAUAUUAAAUCUUACAAACCAUGAA
rnacentral:lncRNA from 1 species